rnacentral:rRNA from 1 species
ACGGAGUUGACGAUUGACGGAGCGAAGCGACGUCAAAGCGUUCAUUAAAGUCGAGUUGGCUUAGGGAUACGUUCGUUGGGUAGGGGAGCGUUCUGUAAGCCUGUGAAGGUGUGUCGUGAGGCAUGCUGGAGGUAUCAGAAGUGCGAAUGCUGACAUAAGUAACGAUAAAGCGGGUGAAAAGCCCGCUCGCCGGAAGACCAAGGGUUCCUGUCCAACGUUAAUCGGGGCAGGGUGAGUCGACCCCUAAGGCGAGGCCGAAAGGCGUAGUCGAUGGGAAACGGGUUAAUAUUCCCGUACUUGGUGUUACUGCGAAGGGGGGACGGAGAAGGCUAUGUUGGCCGGGCGACGGUUGUCCCGGUUUAAGCGUGUAGGUGUGUGUUCCAGGUAAAUCCGGUUCACUUUAACACUGAGGCGUGACGACGAGGCACUACGGUGCUGAAGCAACAAAUGCCCUGCUUCCAGGAAAAGCCUCUAAGCAUCAGGUAACACGAAAUCGUACCCCAAACCGACACAGGUGGUCAGGUAGAGAAUACCAAGGCGCUUGAGAGAACUCGGGUGAAGGAACUAGGCAAAAUGGUGCCGUAACUUCGGGAGAAGGCACGCUGACACGUAGGUGAAGUGAUUUACUCAUGGAGCUGAAGUCAGUCGAAGAUACCAGCUGGCUGCAACUGUUUAUUAAAAACACAGCACUGUGCAAACACGAAAGUGGACGUAUACGGUGUGACGCCUGCCCGGUGCCGGAAGGUUAAUUGAUGGGGUCAGCGUAAGCGAAGCUCCUGAUCGAAGCCCCGGUAAACGGCGGCCGUAACUAUAACGGUCCUAAGGUAGCGAAAUUCCUUGUCGGGUAAGUUCCGACCUGCACGAAUGGCGUAAUGAUGGCCAGGCUGUCUCCACCCGAGACUCAGUGAAAUUGAACUCGCUGUGAAGAUGCAGUGUACCCGCGGCAAGACGGAAAGACCCCGUGAACCUUUACUAUAGCUUGACACUGAACAUUGAGCCUUGAUGUGUAGGAUAGGUGGGAGGCUUUGAAGUGUGGACGCCAGUCUGCAUGGAGCCGACCUUGAAAUACCACCCUUUAAUGUUUGAUGUUCUAACGUGGACCCGUAAUCCGGGUUGCGGACAGUGUCUGGUGGGUAGUUUGACUGGGGCGGUCUCCUCCUAAAGAGUAACGGAGGAGCACGAAGGUUGGCUAAUCCUGGUCGGACAUCAGGAGGUUAGUGCAAUGGCAUAAGCCAGCUUGACUGCGAGCGUGACGGCGCGAGCAGGUGCGAAAGCAGGUCAUAGUGAUCCGGUGGUUCUGAAUGGAAGGGCCAUCGCUCAACGGAUAAAAGGUACUCCGGGGAUAACAGGCUGAUACCGCCCAAGAGUUCAUAUCGACGGCGGUGUUUGGCACCUCGAUGUCGGCUCAUCACAUCCUGGGGCUGAAGUAGGUCCCAAGGGUAUGGCUGUUCGCCAUUUAAAGUGGUACGCGAGCUGGGUUUAGAACGUCGUGAGACAGUUCGGUCCCUAUCUGCCGUGGGCGCUGGAGAACUGAGGGGGGCUGCUCCUAGUACGAGAGGACCGGAGUGGACGCAUCACUGGUGUUCGGGUUGUCAUGCCAAUGGCACUGCCCGGUAGCUAAAUGCGGAAGAGAUAAGUGCUGAAAGCAUCUAAGCACGAAACUUGCCCCGA